rnacentral:rRNA from 1 species
UACUUUUAAAUAAGGAAGAGUUUGUGGUGGAUGCCUUGGGUCUGGAAGUCGAUGAAGGACGUGAUUACCUGCGAUAAGCCUCGUAGAGCUGGAAAUAUGCUAUGAAACGGGGAUUUCCGAAUGGGGAAACCUAACUAUGGUAAUGCAUAGUUGCUUAUGUCUGAAUACAUAGGACAUAAAGCGAGAUACCUUGUGAACUGAAACAUCUUAGUAGCAAGAGGAAAAGAAAAUAAAUAAUGAUUUCUUUAGUAGCGGCGAGCGAACGAGAAAGAGCCCAAACCAUUUUAAAUGGGGUCAUAGGACAGACUACAUAGAGUUACAAAAUUUAAUAAUAGCAGAAGCUUUUGGGAAGAAGCGGCACAGAAGGUGAUACCCCUGUAUGCGAAAUUAUUAAAUCUCUUGACUGUAUCCUGAGUAGGGCGGGGCACGUGAAACCCUGUCUGAAUUUGCCGGGACCACCCGGUAAGGCUAAAUACUAACCAGACACCGAUAGCGAACUAGUACCGUGAGGGAAAGGUGAAAAGAACCCCGAGAGGGGAGUGAAAUAGACUCUGAAACCACUUACUUACAAUUAGUCAGAGCCCGUUAAUGGGUGAUGGCGUACAUCUUGCAGUAUGGACCGGCGAGUUACUUUAGCAUGCAAGGUUAAGCAGAUAAAAGCGGAGCCGUAGAGAAAUCGAGUCUUAAUAGGGCGAUUAGUAUGCUUGAGUACACCCGAAACCAGGUGACCUAUUCAUGAGCAGACUGAAACUUAGCUAACCCUAAGUGGAGGGUCGAACCGUAGUACACUAAAACGUGCCCGGAUGACUUGUGAAUAGCGGAGAAAUUCCAAUCGAACUUGGAGAUAGCUGGUUCUCCUCGAAAUAGCUUUAGGGCUAGCGUGUAGUGUUAAAUAAUGGUGGUAAAGCACUGAAUAUGGAAUGGCCUCGCCUAGGGGUACUGACUAUAAUCAAACUCUGAAUACCGUUAUGAAUUGCUAUGCAGUCGGAACCGGGGUGCUAACGUCCCGGCUCGCGAGGGAAACAACCCAGAUCGUCAGCUAAGGUCCCAAAAUCGUGUUAAGUCAGAAAGGUUGUGAGGUUUCAUAAACAACUAGGAAGUUGGCUUAGAAGCAGCCAUCUUUUAAAGAGUGCGUAAUAGCUCACUAGUCAAGAGACCU